UCACUAUGGUCUAGUGAUCAGGAUUCCUGGUUUUCACCCAGGUGUCCUGGGUUCUACUACCGGUAUGGGAA
rnacentral:tRNA from 1 species